GCCAGACUCCUACGGGAGGCAGCAGUGGGGGAUAUUGCACAAUGGGGGGAACCCUGAUGCAGCGACGCCGCGUGGGUGAAGGAGUAUUUCGGUAUGUAAAGCCCUAUCGGCAGGGAAGAAGCAAGACGGUACCUGACUAAGAAGCCCCGGCUAACUACGUGCCAGCAGCCGCGGUAAUACGUAGGGGGCGAGCGUUAUCCGGAUUCACUGGGUGUAAAGGGAGCGUAGACGGUAGAGCAAGUCUGAAGUGAAAGCCCGCGGCUCAACUGCGGGACUGCUUUGGAAACUGUUCAACUGGAGUGCUGGAGAGGUAAGCGGAAUUCCUAGUGUAGCGGUGAAAUGCGUAGAUAUUAGGAGGAACACCAGUGGCGAAGGCGGCUUACUGGACAGUAACUGACGUUGAGGCUCGAAAGCGUGGGGAGCAAACAGGAUUAGAUACCCUCGUA
rnacentral:rRNA from 1 species